CAACAGACAGUCAUCGGGUCAUCGCUGCUUUACGACAGCAAGUUAAAGAUUUGCAACAACAACACAGCGAACGAGAGAUGUUACAGUUGGAUGAAAACGAACUCAGAGAAUUAAGACACGAAAAUCGAAAACAAGAAAGCGAAUUAAUAGAAAAAGAAAAGAAAAUCAAGUUAUUACAAGCAAAACUUGCUGAACUGAAGAAAGCUUUCCAAAGAGAAUUG